ensembl:lncRNA
GUUACAUAAGCCCUGACCACCAGGACGCAUUAGAUCCCUCUCUUUCUCCCUCUCUAUUUUAUAGAAUUCACCGAUUCUCUGGAAUAUGAUAGUGGGAGGAGAAUGAAAUGAAACUGUGUAACCUCUGAACAACCCCUGAAGUUUGAGAUGUCUCAAGGCGAGGGUGAACGAGAAAGAGGAAGCACUGAAAGUGAGACUGUCUUGUUUAACUGAAAGUGAGAAUUAUGGUAUUAAAAGGAAGUAGAACAACUGUAGCCAUGGAGACCAGCUCAAUGGAAAGAUGAGGAUAUUUUUGAAGGAUGGGCUGCUAUUGUUUGAGAGAAGGACAUGGAGGGAACAAGAGACAAAGAGGAUGAGUGCUGAGGGAGAAGGAGGGAGAGAGGAAUAAAGAAAAGGAGAGAGGAGAACAGGACAAGAGAGAAUGGAGGAGGGAGGAGAGAACACAAGAUCAAACCCAUGGUAGCGAUUGGAUUGACUCAGCCCUAUACCCCCAUCCUUUCGCAACUGCAUUUGCGUAGUUUAGGGUCAGAAUGUCAAGGCUGUUGCUAUUAGUUACCGAACACGCAUGAGGGAACACUUGUAGAAAAUCGAAAGAACUUAACAAGGCAAAAGAUGUUACAAUAGACAUGUUUUAUAUCAAUGUUAUCAUCCAUAACGUGUUUAAUCAGGAAUAAAACUCUUUGGCUGUUAUGUUAUGGGUGGAAUAGUUUCUUCCGCAACCGUGAUGUUUAUUGCAUGAGAGAGACAGACAUAUGAGCGGAUGAGAGGAGAGAUGAAAGACAGAUAGUACCAGGGGGCGCAGCAGGCCAGUCUGCUGAACGAAUAGAAAUAAACAGACUUAAUCGGAAAAGAGGCAACAAGGAGAAAAGCAGAUCUCCCAGGACCUCAAGCCUCAAGAUGGACACGAGAAGCGGACAGGGAUGAAACGGUGAGGGAGCAACGGAUGGGGGAGGAGGAAGAGGAGGCCGAACAGGGAGCCGCAUUGAACACAGCACUCUGUUUGCUCUCUGGUUGUUCCACUAACCUACUUACUGUAAUCUUCUCUCUGUGUUUCAUAAGAGCCCUGCCAGAGAAUUACAUCACCAAGCUUUUCCACACACAGUCGCUCUCUUGUCAUCAUUGCCAUUUAGGAUUUUGAAAGGUGCACAGAUCAAAUGCACAUGGAGG